rnacentral:rRNA from 1 species
GACGAACGCUGGCGGCGUGCUUAACACAUGCAAGUCGAACGAUGAAGCUGGAGCUUGCUCCGGUGGAUUAGUGGCGAACGGGUGAGUAACACGUGAGAAAUCUGCCCUUGACUCUGGGAUAACUGCGGGAAACUGUAGCUAAUACCGGAUAUUUUCCUUGGUGGGCAUCCACUGGGGAAGAAAGAAUUUCGGUCAAGGAUGAUCUCGCGGCCUAUCAGCCAGUUGGUGAGGUAAUGGCUCACCAAGGCGACGACGGGUAGCCGGCCUGAGAGGGUGACCGGCCACACUGGGACUGAGGCACGGCCCAGACUGCUACGGGAGGCAGCAGUGGGGAAUAUUGCACAAUGGGCGCAAGCCUGAUGCAGCAACGCCGCGUGAGGGAUGAAGGCCUUCGGGUUGUAGACCUCUUUUAGCAGGGAAGAAGCGAAAGUGACGGUACCUGCAGAAAAAGCACCGGCUAACUACGUGCCAGCCGCCGCGGUAA